rnacentral:tRNA from 1 species
GUAGCUCAGUGAUUAGAGCAUUGGCCUGUGGACCUAAGGGUCACAGGUUUGAUUCCUGGUC